rnacentral:tRNA from 1 species
GUCGGGAUAGCUCAGUUGGUAAAGCAAAGGACUGAAAAUCCUCGUGUCACCAGUUCAAA